UUCCACCUACAGGACAAAAUGCACAUAAGAGCCAGAUUACUGACAUACUCACCUGAAGAAAGCAGAGUUCAGGAGUUUAAACCAGAGCAGUGCAAAGGAUGUGAUUCAACCCAGCCCACCUCUCCAAAAAAUAGCGAAAUUAAUGGGAUUUUUAAACACACCCACAGUAAACAGACAGAUUCUAACCACUCUGCCACAUGCUCUGUUUCAACAACGAUAUUUUAAAAAUAGUCAGACUUUCAAAAAAAGUCUAUUGCUCUAGAAAACUGGCCUCCUGAUGGUAAGUAUAAGUCAGAUAUGCAGCAAUGACACUCUUGGUAUGUCUCCUGGAGUCUGCUAUGCUGGAGUGAACAAGAGGGGGAAGCUACUCUGCUUCUGCCUGAUUCUCCAGAGACAAAGGAAAAUGGAGAUGAUGAAAGCAUGGCACAGGAACUAGACAAAGGGCAUCAAAAUAUCUUCAGGAGGAGGAGAUGCAACGGCACCAAGAGUUACAGAUUGGGGUGCUUGGGAUGCAAAAUGUAUUUACUUUUCUGGGAUGUGUGUUUAUGACAUUACAGCACACAUAAAAUUACUUUUGAAUGUGGAGCAGAACUCUACACUAGCACUACCCAACAAUCUCUUGCAAACCCUUUGCAGUGAGUUAUGGCCCCCUCAGCUGAAAAAAUGGGGAAGAAAAAGAAAAAGCUCACCAGAGAGCUGCCUCCUGCUUUCUGCAGCUGAGACAGGUUAGUUUCAAAACUGCCUAUCAAGUCAUGUGACCCAUCACUAUCAUAAUCUGUACAAUGUACCUGAAAGGAAAGAAAUAGCAGGCAGUGGACAAAGGUACUGGAUCAGGGAGAUUUACAGCUGCUCACCACAUGAUUUCUCGCUUCCAACAGCUUUGCAGUGAUGCAAGUGAACUCCCCUAUUAAAUCAGAACUGGUGCUGUCAUCCAUAUCACUAACUGAAACCUGACAGUAAAAGAGAUACUCAAAGUGAAUCCUGGUUAGAGACAUAGAAAUACUGCUACUCAGCUGUUUAGCUAAUGGGCAAUUAAAUGCAACUCACAUCCACAGCAGAAGUUUUGCUUCAGUCAGGAUCUCUCCCCAACUAAACUGAUCUGCUUUGCUAGACUACUGAAUAUUGUUUACUUGUAUGUUGGUACAGAGGUAUAAACAUGGAUUUUAUUCUGCAGCGGGUACUCAACUGGAAUAUGGAGAAAGCAGCAAUAAGAAUGCUGUACCCAACACCUUACAAAGUCUUUCAUAUUUGCAUACAUAUAAAAUAAUAGUGUGGACUGCACUGGAGAUUGGCAGCUGCAGUGAGCAGAACCCCGAGCCUGUCUUCUUUCGUAUUUUACACAGUACCAAGCAGACUAUCUACAUUUGAAUUGUUAAUCACAUUUAGAUCAGCCUGGAGACCCGAUUCCCCAAUGCUAAUGCCAAUGCAAGAGACCAUGGCACAUAGAACAUGCUAAGACCUAAAUCAGUUAUAGCACCACAUGACGUUAGCCACCAGAAAGCAGUAUGUAUGAGGUUUUAAUAUGCACAAAACACACAACACAUUAAAAAUCACAGAAUGCAAGUACUCCAGUGGAAGCAAUCAAAAAUCAAUGCUUACGAACUGGUGCAUUUCCCCUCCUGUUCAAAAACAAACUCCAUAUGCUCCAGACUUCAAAACUUACUGGACUUUUGGGGGUCUGGCUUUAUCAAAGACCAUCACAAGACACAGCUCAGCACAAGCCAUCUCUUCACAGUCAGCUUUUCCCAGUGUUCUACUCUCAGGACUGUUCAGUGACCACUCUAUAUAAGGGUGUCAAACUCAUUCUUUGGAGAGGCCCAAAUUACAUGUGUAAUUAUAGCCUACAGGGUUAAAUUCAGAUCUCACAAACUCCCCUUGAUCCACUGCAGCUCUUCCUACUGGUCAUUGGGAAAUUUGCACAAAAAUCAAGGGUGAAAUGUGCCUUUAGCUAAUAAAUAAUAACCAAAAGUUCAAUUAAGUAUCUUAUAGUCACAUUUAACCUCACUCAGUGGAAGAGCAUGCUUACUUUUAAGACCAUUGUUAUUUCUUCCCUUUACUUCUCUUCCUUCCCCAUCCUCCUUCUCUGUUUCCUUGUUUCCUCUGCAUUCCCUGCUCUGCAGCCAUUUUCAGUUUCCACCAUGAGCUUCCCUACCAUCCCUUUCAUCACCCCAUCUGCUAAAACAAUUUGAAAUUAAAUAAAUAAUGCUCACAUUUAAAGCACUGAGGCUGCAGAAUUACCAACCUGAUGAGGUAACAGGACAGGGAGUUCUCACCUCAGAACCUUACAUCCUCUCCACCUAAAGAGCUACUACAUCCUCCCUUAUAUCUGGGUGGAGAAAUGAGCCCUGUGAGUCAUCAGAAUCCACAUACUCUUUUCCCAGUAAACUCACACCUGCUAACAGAGAUUGAGGCAAUAUUUUUUUAUGCUGAUGGGAGAGCUCUUUUGUACUGGUACAGCUGCGUCACUGCAGCACUGUCCUAGAGACAUGGGCUACCAUUGCUAGACUGUUACGAUGCUCAGAAGGAAACCAACAUCUCUGAAACAUGCUCUUUUCAGCAAUAAUGAGCAGUCACAGGCGGUCAACACUGACUGCAUCAGUGGCCAGCUAGCAAUAUUGUAGGAAACAGGUCAUAAUCCAACUGUCAGCAAAUACUUAUUCCCUGCAUUUUCUCCAAUAUUUUGUGGGACCCAAGAGGUCCUCAAGAUGAAUAAAGGAUGCUCUGCUUCCUAAUAAUGAAACUACCAAUAUUCACAGAAGGCGGUGGCUUCUGCUCUACUCCUUAUGUCAUCAGAUUGAUGGGUAGCUAUCUUGUUCUUUAAAAUCUCAUUUUAAUUUACAUGAAGAACUAAUUCCAAUGAAAGAUUACUUUGGUGGAAAGGAAUUGCACCAGUUUAAAAAACAAAAAAGACAAUCAAGGACUUCAAUUUUUGUCCAAGUUGAACAAGUUACUUAU